rnacentral:tRNA from 1 species
GUUUAAAAAGUAUGUUUCUUAACGAUUUGCAGUCGUUAGAUUUUAAAUCAUUUUUUUAAGGUUACGAUCCUUAUGUGUU